rnacentral:lncRNA from 1 species
GUUUGCUGGAGGAUCAGGUCUGUCGGGACAGUUUGCUGGAGGAUCAGGUCUGUCGGGACAGUUUGCUGAAGGAUCAGGUCUGUCGGGACAGUUUGCUGGAGGAUCAGGUCUGUCGGGAGAGUUUGCUGGAGGAUCAGGUCUGUCGGGACAGUUUGCUGGAGGAUCACGUCUGUCGGGACAGUUUGCUGGAGGAUCAGG